UCCUGCGGUUCUCUGGCACAUACAGCCCACGGGCUAAGCACACGACAGAAAGAAGCCUUCAGACAGCAUCACGGGUUUUGCAGCGGAGCAGAACAUCCCAGGAUCGUCUGUUGCUCCCCCAACCCCCCGGACAGAUACCCCCUUCUUCAUGCCUUUACGUGGGUAAAGAAAGAAGGGAUAGCAAGGACGGCAGCCAGAGCAGCCCUGGAGGUUCUCCCAGAGUCUGGAAGCUGAACCCUAGAACUGAUGCCAGCCCCAACCUAGCCCAAGCUUGCCAUGCCUCGUCAUAUACGGCACAUCGUGCCUCUGUGUCCAACUUUGCGGUUGGCUCAGCUGCCAGCAUUGUCUCCUUACCACCUCCCAGUCCUUGCCUGAGGUCCCGGAAUGCCUAGCGGCCAAGUCCAAACAUUAUGACCACAGCUCAUCACCAACUUCCCGAGAGUGGCCAACUAAGACAUCACGGGUUACUGGUUCUCUGAGGGUCUCAAAGUCCUGAUCGAUUGGUGCAAAUCAACCAAGACCCCAAGACUGAAGCCUUAAUACAGAUCAUCUGGAGAUCGUGGAGGUUCUGAUUUGGCAGAUCUGGGGUGGGGCCUGGACACCGUAUUUCUAACAAGCUUCUCUGGUGCUGAUGCGCUGGGCUGCAGCCCACGCCCCGAGCAGGACUCAUCUGGAGACACCAAGUUCACCGGUUGAGUAUUUAGUAUGCUUCAAAUGCGGGUCAUGUUCUGUGAAGCUUUAGCCAAUCUUAAACACAAAUCUGUAUUUUUCAUUGUGUAGAAUGCUGUUUUCAUGGUUUUGUUGCUAAGAUGGUUGCAUUUAUAACUCCAUUGGGAAACCCCUCAUCCCUGUCUUGCCUAGAACAGAACACCAAUCUGAGUUUUCUCCAAGAGACCGUAUCUGCCCUUGGCCCUCAUUCCCUCUUGGGCUAUAGAUGCUGAGUGGAUGAACAAUGUUCCCUUCUGCAGCCUUUCUAGGACUUCUCUUCUAGACUGGAUGUCAAAAUAAUCCCAGUUCCACAUUCAAAUGGAACGUACCGGAGAAUUGGAUAAGACAAUGACACUUCCUUCUGCUUGAGUGUGUGCCAAUGCAGGGGAUUCAGAAUAGCGCUCACUACAUUUGCAGCCAACCCCACGCCGGCCACACCUUGCCUUGGUGGGGACACCACAGUGGUCCCAGCCUCCCGCUGCUGGAUCCUGCCUCCCUCCCUGGCGUCUGGUGUCUCUAGGAUGGGAAUUGUGUUAGCCCAUGUCUGUGGCUCUGGUACCCAGCUCACUAGGGGCCUAAAAAAAACGUGUGCAUUAAACGUAUCCCUCUCCAAAGGCUUUUACUUUAUCUCCCUGCCUGAGAGGAUAAGAGACCUGACUAAGGCCCCUCAGCCAGUGAUUUCGUGAAACAGCUUAUAAACUCAAGCAGAAGGAGACCUCAUCCAGCCUGACGAGUCGAUAAGCGGAGGCCGGGAAGGGCUGGGGAUUUGGCCAGGACUCUACAGUUAAGUCUGAGAAUAGCUGGGCCUAGAUUCUGGCUGUGCUGACAUAGGUCUCUGCCCACGCCACCUUUGGGAUUCUAUUUGUUUCCACUAAAAAAUCAAGAGGAUGGAGGAGGAAGACAAUCUUCCAAGCUCUAUAAAGAGAGAAGGGGGCUGA